UACGUAGGGUGCGAGCGUUGUCCGGAAUUACUGGGCGUAAAGAGCUCGUAGGUGGUUUGUCGCGUUGUUCGUGAAAACUCACAGCUUAACUGUGGGCGUGCGGGCGAUACGGGCAGACUGGAGUACUGCAGGGGAGACUGGAAUUCCUGGUGUAGCGGUGGAAUGCGCAGAUAUCAGGAGGAACACCGGUGGCGAAGGCGGGUCUCUGGGACGGUACUGACGCUGAGACGCGAAAGCGUGGGGAGCAAACAGG
rnacentral:rRNA from 1 species